rnacentral:rRNA from 1 species
GGCGGAAUGUGUCAUGUAGCGGUGAAAUGCUUAGAUAUGACACAGAACACCGAUUGCGAAGGCAGCUCACUAAGUUAUUAUUGACGCUGAGGGACGAAAGCGUGGGUAGCGAACAGGAUUAGAUACCCUGGUAGUCCACGCCGUAAACGAUGUAUACUCGUUGCUAGCGAUACACAGUUAGUGACCAAGCGAAAGUAUUAAGUAUACCACCUGGGGAGUACGAUCGCAAGAUUGAAACUCAAAGGAAUUGACGGGGGCCCGCACAAGCGGUGGAGCAUGUGGUUUAAUUCGAUGAUACGCGAGGAACCUUACCUGGGCUUAAAUGCAGAACG